UGCCAGCAGCCGCGGUAAUACGGAGGGUCCGAGCGUUGUCCGGAAUUAUUGGGUUUAAAGGGUACGUAGGCGGAUCAAUAAGUCAGAGCUGAAAUCCUACAGCUUAACUGUAGAACUGGCUUUGAAACUGUUGAUCUUGAGUAUGGUAGAGGCAGGCGGAAUUUAUGAUGUAGCGGUGAAAUGCAUAGAUAUCAUAAAGAACACCGAUAGCGAAGGCAGCUUGCUGGACCAUAACUGACGCUAAUGUACGAAAGUGUGGGUAGCGAACACGAUUAGAUA
rnacentral:rRNA from 1 species